GGUCCAGUAGUGUAGCGGUUAUCACGUCUGCUUUACACGCAGAAGGGCGACGGUUCGAUCCCGUCCUGGAUCA
rnacentral:tRNA from 1 species